GAAAUAAUGUACUAGUCCUAGUGCCACCAAGGAGAAAUGCCUCUGGGCUAAAGCAAAUCCCUGAGCGUGUCUCCCUUGUAGUAACACUAAACUUCAAGCUAACGAUCUACAAGUGAAUCCUUGGUCCAGUCUCAUCAUCUCUUUCUUCGUGGUUCAAAAUCUGCAUUUGAAGUUACGAACGGCUUAAUUGUAAAGACAGUCCAGAGGUACCCACAUGGUGUUGUACAAUCCGCCGCUCACCUCGCCUGCCGCCUCCGUUUGUCUACAUCAAUGUGGCAUUUAAGUCAUUGGAAAUUACCCCAGCUGUCCGUCUGCGUCACUGUGGCAUUUAAGUAGUACUGCCACAUAAACAGUAUAGGCAAAAUCAUCUCAUUCUUGCUACUCCCUCUCUGUUUUAAAAUGUAAGGCGUAUUCUUUUUGACAAGACCAGCAUUUGACCGAUAGUACUCUGGUAUGCAAUUCAGGGAAUUUAUGGAAAGUACUAACAGUAUUAUCAUCAUUUACCCUCUAUCACCGCCUUCCAUUUUUGCAUCAAAGUUCAUGCAAUUGUAUUUCGAUUUUCUUUGUUUCUCCCCAAUAAAAGAACAUUUGAUCUUGAAACUUCGCAGAUCAACAACACACAAGUACUACCAUGUGCAGAAAUAAUUUCGGAUGUUUUGGCGCAAUAUAAAAAAGGGCAGCCUGGUGAUGUACAAGGGUCUGACCAGUUCAGAUCCUUUGGCGCAAUAUAAAUGUUUAAAAAUGAUACAACUAAUUCAGAAUUUGAAAUUUGACAAACUUAUGCUUCAUCAAAAAAAUUGGAAACAUUUUAUUAUAAUGAGUGGCACUUGUGUAUAGUUGAACUGCAAAGUUUCAAGGUCAAAUGUUGUCUUGAUUGAAAGAAACAAAAAAGAGAAAUUUCUAGAUAAGGAUAGCACGAACCUUGACGCAAACUGAAAGGUUUAGAUACAGGGUAGAGUGGUAUUGUAGUACAACAAAUCCACCAAAAUUCAGAUUGUUUCUUAGGUGUUCAUGUAUGCUUAAGAGUACCCGUGGACGUGUGUGAACUGUUGAAAAUACAAAAUACAUUCAUCAAAGUAGUAAAAUAUUUCCUAUUUUUUGUCAAAAGUUGUUAGCAUGUACUGUAGCUGGUUUGGUUGAGUCGUAGGUGAUAGGCAGCAGUCCUGGAGUGUGGAUUGAGUGAGCCGGUCAGCACAAAAGUGGUUGGUUUGGUUGGGUCAUGUGUGCAGGAUCGUGUGAGUAGCCAGCCAACUAGCCAAGUGAUUUGGUUGGGUCAUAUAUAUAGUCGUGGAGUGAUCCCAGGAGUUGUGUGAGAGGCGUGAGCUUAGUUCAGACUUGAGAGGCUAACAGAAGCCUAUACAUGUAAUCAGGCUUGCUAGUAAGAGGUAGCGAGAGAAGGUAGUGAGCCAGGAAACAGUGUAGCUAGUCUAUAGUGUAAGAGAUGUGAGGUGUAGUCCCAGCAGAUAGUUGGAGAGAGGUCUGUGGGAUUUUUGAGCGGAUAGAGAGGUCUGUGGGAUAGUGGAGGAAAACAAAGAGUUGUGGGAUAAUGCAUACAUACCAACAUGAUGCCGUACAUGCUGACGGUGAGCUCACCUGCAGCGAGGCAACACUGCGCCUAAGCACGCCGCUCUUCACGAUGCCUCGACGUAGCACCUUGGCCAGGAUAGCUUGAAUAUCUCCAGCGAGGAAGGGACUCAAAUGCUGACCUUUGGAAAAUACAUCUGUUCUUGUUCUGCUUCAAUCACGGUGGCGUUGUCCGAGUAGUACUGCCUCAUAAACAGAAUACAUUGUAUUGGACUUCACUCUAUGAACGCAUAAGCUUAGAGAACAUAAUUUAGGUAGCCAUGGUGUUUUGGUGGAACCACCUCUUCU